UACGAAGGGGGCUAGCGUUGCUCGGAAUCACUGGGCGUAAAGCGCACGUAGGCGGCUUUUUAAGUCAGAGGUGAAAUCCUGGAGCUCAACUCCAGAACUGCCUUUGAUACUGAGAGGCUUGAGUCCGGGAGAGGUGAGUGGAACUGCGAGUGUAGAGGUGAAAUUCGUAGAUAUCAGGAAGAACACCCGUGGCGAAGGCGGCUCUCUGGUACGGAACUGACGCUGAGACGCGAAAGCGUGGGGAGCGAACAGG
rnacentral:rRNA from 1 species